GGCAUUAAGGGUAUUAUUUAAUGUCUGGCCUGCCCUAUGGCUUAAGCUAAAUGGCCGCAGUAUCUUGACUGUGUAAAGGUAGCAUAAUCAAUUGUCUAUUAAUUGUAGACUUGAAUGAAAGGCUGAACUUAGUUUUACUUUUUUAGUUAUUAUGAAUGAAUUUACGCUUUUUGUAAAAAUACAAAGAUGAAGAUAGGGGACGAGAAGACCCUAUUGAGCUUUAUAUUGAUGCCUAUGCUUUGUUGUAAAUGGAAGGUUUCAUGAGCUACUAUAUUUUACUGGGGCGGUAGAUUCGCAAAAAACGUAAUUUUUCUGGUCCAUAAAGCAUGAGUUUGGGAUUAAGUUACUGUAGGGAUAACAGCUUAAUUUUGUCUAAUAGUUCUUAUUGACGGCAACGUUUGUGACCUCGAUGUUGGUUUAAGGUGUCUACACAGAAGUAUAAAGUUUGUAAGAUGGUUUGUUCAACCAUUAAACCCUUAUG
rnacentral:rRNA from 1 species